UCCACAUCUCUGAGACAGUCUGCUGAAGUUGUGAAGACCUGACGGUGAAAUCACUGAAACCAUGAUCAAGGUUGUGUUUCUGCUUGGAUGCCUGCUGAGCCUUGCUCUGGCAAAUCCUAAUGACUCAGCACACGAGCGCGAUGCACGUUCUUCAUCUAGGGAGGGGAUUACUGGGCCUUCCCUAAAUCGUCUUACCCUGCUCCUACCUUUUCUACAGAAUCCAGCACUUCUGCAGAAUUCAACGCUCCUUGCUUUGCUUCUUGCUGCUAUACGAUAAGCUGCUCCUUAACCAACAGCUAUUACUGCCACAAAGGAGGAAUUGAAAACGAACAAACAAUGAAUAAAAACCUAUGUUAA